GUGAGUCUGUCUCAUGGAGACCAAGACUGGGAAUGCAGAACCCAAAGGAUUCUUUUGUACCUUUUACCAGUGUUUCUCUAGGAUGUGUUGUAUAGCACCAUAGCAAAGCACUUGAUGCACGCCUAGGCUUGAUGUACCCAAAGUUCACUCUGAUUGGCUGAGGGAGGAUAUACACUCAAAAUAUCGGAGACUUGAUGGUCUUCAGAAACCAUUAUGGUGUAACGCUCAACUGCCGAGUAACCACAAUGCCACGCUAUCACAGAGACAUGUUCAUACUGCCUUUCAGAUUUAACGAGAAGAACUUCAGGCUAACUAUUAUUUACAACAGAAGAGAACUUUUGAAUGGACUGAGUGCAUGGAAACUCCACACCACUGCUCUCUUAAUAUUAAUGUGUCUAGUAAAGUGAUGUGAGAAAUGAGGCUGUGACAACAAUUUCAGUGGGCAUUGAUGGUACAAUGACUCUAGAUACACUGCAUACAUUUGCUUCCUCCUUUGAUGAGAUAGAGAUGACAACAGUAAUAAUGUCCACACUGUUCUUCGCUUUUCAUUUAUUUUUAAAAGCACGUUGGUAGAUACUGCAAAUUUGGGGGGGUUUAAUAAGAACAAAAUGACAUUAAUCAUGGAAUCUGCUACAAUUGGAGUUUGAUUGCUCCCCCAUGUUAACCAGGAAGACGCAUUCAUAUGUAAAAAUAAAUAUGACCAAACAGGAUGCCUCCGUAGUGGUGAUGUGCAGAUCUCAUGUGGUCAGCUCACUGUCUUGGUAGGCUGACUUGUAUCGGGGGCGGGCUUUGCGCCAGUGGGCCAAUGGGAUUCAUCCAGUGGCACCGGGAGGCGGGACCCUCUGCAUUUGCUGGUCUCUAGAAUGUGUCGACUUGCCAAACACACCAGCGCUAAAGGCAUCACAGCUGACUGACUGCACGGACCAAAAAGGCAUUUAGGGGCAGCUUAACUGUCACUCGUUCACUUUUUAUAGCCUGGAUGUUGUAAUUCCUUUGCUGUGACACUUGUUGCACCGUUGAGCUUCUAAUUUCAAAGUAACUAGCCAAUGGCAUUUGCUCUUGAACUGGAACAUCCUGCCCGGCUUGAGAUGCACACAGAUAACAACGGAAGCAUUGGAAAAUCCAUGCAAAUGUGUAAGAGCUGGGUGAUAACCUUUUCAGGGGCUCUUGAGUUGCUUUUGUGUGCGGUCAAUUUUUAAUGAUUUAAAUGAAACAGGACUACAAAGUGUGGAGAGGGGGGUGAUGACAGGGCUGCUUGUUUCAUAAUAAGUCUUGUUUUAUUUAUAUCCAGUAGUAAAUUGUAGAGAAUGUGUACCGGGGUGGAUAUGGCGUACACGCUACCAGUUGGGAACUCUCCCUAUUUUUAGCAUUUAAUUGACAAAGGUCACAAAACCAAGUCUUUGAAUAUUUCUACAGUAUUAAUAAUGGCCAUUUUACUAUACAGGCUUGUGGAGUGUAUAGUUUAUCUGUUCCAGGUGUGUACAGGAACCAGGUGAUAGGUGAGUGAACCGGCCUCUUCCACGUAAGCAGUGCCUAUCUGGUCUCCCUCUCUUCGACCGACGGAUGGACUCUGCGUGAACAAACAUGCUUGUGUUCCUCUGAUACCUUCUUUCCCAGGUAGAAUCACCUGAAACUCCAGGGCACCGGCCUCAUUGACCCAGUGGCCAUGUGGGCACCAUGUGACGUGUUACAGAUUUUCCGCUAAUCACCUGGAUCCUUUUCCAUGUCCCACCCCUAUACAAAUACUGAUGCAUACCGGUGACCAAAAACAGAGAAGAGUGGAACAUUUUAUGACCUUUUCCACUUACAGAGGCAAAACACUAAGAGAAAAACUAAGGACCAUUUGGAUGUCACGUCCUGUCGUGCCGCUUUCAACAUGAAAAAGUUUCAAGACUUGUGCUAAAGUGGACCUGUGAAAAAUGAGUCCUUCCGUUUCACCUUAUAAUGAUCUGUGCUGGAAGGUCACAAGAGGAAGUAACGUGGUCCUUAAAUCGCAAGAGGAGGUGAGAAGAUUCCCGGCAGCUCGGAGAAUAUCAGUUCAACAGACGUUAUCAAUCACCACAGGUUCACUAGCAGCAUUUAACGUGUUUUCCAAGCGCUGCCGGGAAAGAAGCUAAAGCCCAAUUCUGUAAUCGGAUCUAGGAACUCCAAUAGCGUCUGCUGAAAGCAGAUUUCCCACAAUGCACUGCUGUCUUCCACCAAUUUCCAGUGCAACACAGUUGGAGUUUGUCAUUCCUUCUGCUACUGUAAUAAAUCGCUCUCAGGAUAUAAACGUUCUUAAAAACACUGCCAAAAAACGUUUGUUCCAGCUCACACAAAACUAAAUAACGGUGAGAAAAUGGUAUAUCUUUAUUGUUCAGCCUAUGUUCUUUUCUAUGGUGCUUGUGUCCGUUUACCAGGUAUAGUAAUGCAGUUCUGCAUUUCUGUAUUUUAAAAUGUCACAGCUGGGUAAUUACUACUGAGCUUUCAUUGCCCUACUAACUCAUGGCACCUUGGGGAACUUGAACCUGCCACCUCUAAACCACAAGAUCAUUUCCCUAACCCCUCUACUACCUGCUGUCGGCUAAUACGAGGAUGUCUACAGAACGCAGUUUAAUGAAGUGAUAUUGUUUCCUGAGGAAUGGUCAUGGUAACCCCAUUAGUUUGCGUGUGUAUGUAUGUGUGUGUGUGUAUUUUGCAUGUUGGGCUCAUGUGCGCAAGUCUGGUGUGGAAGUGGUCGUGCAAUUAGCACAGGCGCAAAUGGUACAACAUUCAAAAUUAUAUUUAGGUUGUUUGUGCAGAAGUAUCAUCCUCUAUGUCAGUUAUUAAUUAAGGACAGGGAGAGGGCCUUGGCCAUCACAGUGCUGCCCCUAAUGGAAGCACACAGCUAAUAUCAGGAGGUGCAGCUCCUUGGGCGAGGGAACGGCGGCAGGGUCCUGUGUAGCGACCCACCUGUCCACACACUUCUUCUGCUGUCUCCUCCAAUCAGCUGUAGAACAUGAAGCCAGAUGACAGUGUGGACCACGUCCCCAGACAGUCCUGUUUCCGGGCCGCAUCUCCCUGUCCACCCACUGGGGAAGAGGUUUAGCGUUCUGGGCCGUCACUGCUAUUGGAGUUGACCUCCCAAACAGUGCCAGCUGUUGGAGAAGCGAAACUCUUCCUCUGUGCAUAAACUCAUGGUAGCAUUUCAGUGAGGAAAUGAGAGGGAUGCUUCUUAAAUUUUCUUUCACUGCGCCUAAAUCAGUUAACCAUAGUGACCCAGAAGAUUAUAGCAAAAUGCCAAAAAGAACAAUCUAGAAAAGAUAUUAUUUGAAUGAAUGCUAUUAACCAGAUAUUAACCUUAUACCGAACCGGUCCUCAGGUAUUUAAGCGCUAUUUUAUUUUGCUGCUUUAAAGUCAUUUUCACAAGUAUAAAAUGUUCAGUUCAAGAGGUACACUUCAAGCGUGAUGUGACAUAAGAAGGAAAGCUUGAGAUGAGUAAGGCAUUCUGUCGCAUCGUGGGAAGGGAUGUAGUGUCAUUCCCCUGAUUUGGUUUGUCCGUGUGUGUUGUUUUAACAGCCAGUUUGAUUAUCUGGUCUUAUCUGUGAAAUGUUGAAACCGUAAUGAAACUCUGACACCCA